ACAAUGGUUAUGCCACAAAAUACGCGAGCAAAUGGUUAAUUUUACUCUAGCAAUAAUAGUGGUAUUGAGUAAUUAUUUGAUGCCGAUGAGAUGCAUCGGUUGCAAUCUAUACUUCCACUUUCUCUUCCCUUCGUACCAAUUAUUGUAGCUAAUGUAAUACAAAAAAAUAUAGAUACCAUAUUAUGCCACCUCUGCAACCAUCCUAAUUAAUCAUGAUAGCUAUUGAUCCAUACGAACCAAAUGAGAAUAACUGAAGUGCAAAGUAUAGAUUUUACCAAAACCGUGUAGACUUUAAACCAACUCUCGUUGAAUGUUAUUCAUAAACAUCUAAGUUUGUGUGUCAAGCUAUAUUACAAUCCUUGGAGGACUAUAAAUUAAGGUCCUUUUUGUCAACUAAAACUCAUCCUUGGAAGUUGGAAGUCCAUUCCGUUUCUAGCCGUGCACACCAGCGAUUAGAAACCUGAAACGGAAACGGCGAGCCGGUCCGCCCGCGAUUCAGAUCGUUUAACGGAAGACGAAAGCAAGGCGUGCUUCCAACGCAAAGGAAAGUCACCCAGAUGGGCCGCCUCGCAGGCCAAUGCCAGGAUGCAAUGCCUCUCAUCCUCGAACACGUACUCACGAGGGCAGAC
rnacentral:lncRNA from 1 species